rnacentral:rRNA from 1 species
AUUGAACGCUGGCGGCAUGCCUUACACAUGCAAGUCGAACGGUAACAGGUCUUCGGAUGCUGACGAGUGGCGAACGGGUGAGUAAUGUAUCGGGACGUGCCCAGUCGUGGGGGAUAACGCAGCGAACGCUGUGCUAAUAACGCAUCCGAUCUAAGGAUGAAAGGGGGGGACCUGCAAGGGCCUCGCGCGAUUGGAGUGGCGGAUAGCAGAUUAGGGAGUUGGUGAGGUAAAGGCGCACCAAGCCUGCGAUCUGUAGCUGGUCUGAGAGGACGACCAGCCACACUGGAACUGAGACACGGUCCAGACUCCUACGGGAGGCAGCAGUGGGGAAUUUUGGACAAUGGGCGCAAGCCUGAUCCAGCAAUGCCGCGUGCAGGAUGAAGGCCUUCGGGUUGUAAACUGCUUUUGUACGGAACGAAAAGGUUCUCUCUAAUAUAGGGGGCUCAUGACGGUACCGUAAGAAUAAGCACCGGCUAACUACGUGCCAGCAGCCGCAGUAACAC